GAGAAAAUGUGGACACACAUACGAAACAAAUUUUUGUAAAUAUAUUAAAACAUAUAUCUGAAUGUAAGCAUAUAUGUGUACUGUUCACCACAUAAACUGUAAACACAUUGCCAUGCACACCAUAGUUAAACAUUUUGAAAAUCACUAAUGUAGAUACACCCCCCUACACAAACUAUUAAUGUCAAAGUAACAUAGCUGCACUAUAAUCUGGUAUUCAAAAUGUGUUAUGAAUUCACUAACAUGGCUAAAAUGAGAAGCAGAAAAAUAACAUGUAUUGACAAGGUUGUUGAACAACUGGAACUUCCACAUAGUGCUGGCAGAAGUAUAGAAUGGUGGUGGCCACUCAAGAAAACUUUCUGGUGCUCUCUACUAAAAGUGAACAUCUGCAUGCCCUACAACCUGGCAAUUGCACUGUUGAGCAUAUCCCCAAGAAAAGACAUAAGAAUAUUCAAGAAUAUUCAAUAUUCAUCUAUAGGUAACAGCUGGAAACAUACAUGUGUAUUGGUAGUAGUAUGGAUAGAGAAAUAGGGAUAUAUUUCCUCAGUAAGUGACCCUUACCAACACAAUGUUGAGUGAAAGAAGCUGAACAUGAAGGAGCCCAUCCAAUAUGUGGUUCCAUUUACAUGAAGUAAAAAGCUAGGCAAACCCAACCAUGCCAUUAGAGGCCAGGGGUUAUUGGAAUGGAAUAUAACUGGGGGUGUUCUGAGCAUCAUUCAUAUUCUGUAUUUUGAUUUAGGUGCUUAUCACAUAUUUAUGUUCAGCUUGUGAAAAUUCAUCAAUAUAAAAAUUGAUGAUUUGUGCAUUCUUUCCCUAAAUGAUUAUCAAUCCUCAGUUAAGUUUUUAAAAAUGUAUGUUAUGGUUUGGAUAUGAGAUAUUACCACCCCCCAAAAAAAUUCCUGUGCUAAUGCAGGAAUAUUCAGAGGCUAAAUGAUUGGAUUGUGAGAGCUUUAACCUCAUCAGUACAUCCUAGUUUGAAUGGACUGACUGGGUGGUUUGUAAGUAGUUGGGGUGUGGCUGGAGGAGGUGGGUCACUGGGUCUUUGAAGCAUCUUUCUCUUCUCUCUCUGCUUCCUGGCUGCCAUGAAUGGACAGCUUCCCUUCUCUGUGCCUUUCUACCAUGAUGUUCUGCCUCAUCUUGGGCUCAGAGCAAUGUUGUUAACCCACCAUGUACUGAAUAUCUGAAACUGUG
rnacentral:lncRNA from 1 species